rnacentral:rRNA from 1 species
AACGGCUAACUACGUGCCAGCAGCCGCGGUAAUACGUAGGUGGCAAGCGUUGUCCGGAGUUUAUUGGGCGUAAAGCGAGCGCAGGCGGUUUUUAAGGUUCUUGAUGUGAAAGACCUUCGGCUCAACCGAAGAAGUAGCAUCGGAAACUGGGAAACGUUAGAGUGCAGAAGAGGACAGUGGAACUCCCAUGUGUAGCGGUGAAAUAGCGUAGAUAUAUGGAAGAACACCAGUGGCGAAGGCGGCUGUCUGGUCUGUAACUGACGCUGAGGCUCGAAAGUAUGGGUAGCAAACAGGAUUAGAUACCCUGGUAG